UACGUAGGGUGCAAGCGUUAAUCGGAAUUACUGGGCGUAAAGCGUGCGCAGGCGGUGAUGUAAGUCAGAUGUGAAAUCCCCGGGCUCAACCUGGGAACUGCGUUUGAAACUACAAGGCUAGAGUGUAGCAGAGGGGGGUAGAAUUCCACGUGUAGCAGUGAAAUGCGUAGAGAUGUGGAGGAAUACCAAUGGCGAAGGCAGCCCCCUGGGUUAACACUGACGCUCAUGCACGAAAGCGUGGGGAGCAAACAGG
rnacentral:rRNA from 1 species